rnacentral:rRNA from 1 species
AUACGAAGGGUGCAAGCGUUAAUCGGAAUUACUGGGCGUAAAGCGUGCGCAGGCGGUUUUGUAAGACAGAGGUGAAAUCCCCGGGCUCAACCUGGGAACUGCCUUUGUGACUGCAAGGCUAGAGUACGGCAGAGGGGGAUGGAAUUCCGCGUGUAGCAGUGAAAUGCUAAGAUAUGCGGAGGAACACCGAUGGCGAAGGCAAUCCCCUGGGCCUGUACUGACGCUCAUGCACGAAAGCGUGGGGAGCAAACAGGAUUAGAUACCCUGGUAGUCCACGCCCUAAACGAGGUCAACUGGUUGUUGGGUCUUCAUUGACUCAGUAACGAAGCUAACGCGUGAAGUUGACCGCCUGGGGAGUACGGCCGCAAGGUUGAAACUCAAAUGAAUUGACGGGG